GACGUAGGGGGCAAGCGUUGUCCGGAUUUAUUGGGCGUAAAGAGCGUGUAGGCGGCCAGACAGGUCCGUUGUGAAAACUCGAGGCUCAACCUCGAGAUGUCGAUGGAAACCGUCUGGCUAGAGUCCGGAAGAGGAGUGUGGAAUUCCUGGUGUAGCGGUGAAAUGCGCAGAUAUCAGGAAGAACACCGAUGGCGAAGGCAGCUCUCUGGGACGGUACUGACGCUGAGACGCGAAAGCGUGGGGAGCGAACAGG
rnacentral:rRNA from 1 species